CGUAGGGCGCAAGCGUUAUCCGGAAUUAUUGGGCGUAAAGAGCUCGUAGGCGGUUUGUCGCGUCUGCCGUGAAAGUCCGGGGCUCAACUCCGGAUCUGCGGUGGGUACGGGCAGACUAGAGUGAUGUAGGGGAGACCGGAAUUCCUGGUGUAGCGGUGAAAUGCGCAGAUAUCAGGAGGAACACCGAUGGCGAAGGCAGGUCUCUGGGCAUUAACUGACGCUGAGGAGCGAAAGCAUGGGAGCGAACAGGAUU
rnacentral:rRNA from 1 species